rnacentral:rRNA from 1 species
UGAAACUGCGAAUGGCUCAUUAAAACAGUUAUAGUUUAUUCGAUAAUUUUCUACAUGGAUAACCGUAGUAAUUCUAGAGCUAAUACAUGCUGUCAAACCUGACUUCGCGGAAAGGUUGUAUUUAUUAGAUAUAAACCAAUACCUUCGGGUGUUGUGAUGAUUCAUAAUAACUGAGCGAAUCGAGGUCGUACCUCGAUAGAUCGUUCGAGUUUCUGCCCUAUCAGCCUUCGAUGGUAGUGUAUUGGACUACCAUGGCGGUCACGGGUAACGGGGAAUUAGGGUUCGAUUCCGGAGAGGGAGCCUGAGAAACGGCUACCACUUCUAAGGAAGGCAGCAGGCGCGUAAAUUACCCAAUCCUGAUUCAGGGAGGUAGUGACAAGAAAUAACA